rnacentral:snoRNA from 1 species
GGGGGUGAUGAUAUAAACACAUUGGAAAGGCAUUCCUCAAUCCGAAUUAUACUGUCGAAUCUUUGCAUUAAGUUUCAGCCUUGUCUGACC